AAUUGCCAAAAAAACAGGGCAAGCCCGUGUACAACUGGCAACUGUAAGAUGCGAGAGAUCAUAGCAAGGAGAGUGGAUCGCAGGCUCACCAUAACGCGACCGUCCGCUUUUGGCAGUGUCCCUCUUGUAGCCACUCGCUCUUGCAUAGCCAGGUAGACGUCGCCAAAGCUGACACGCUCCAUCUCUCGCCGUAGAGCAUUACAUGGCUUUGCUCGCUUAGCUUGGGCAUAUCUUGUGCUGGUUACAGGAAUCCCGACCGCACGAAUGCGUGAGCACGGACGGAUACAGGAGUUGCAAGGCCGUUGGAUUACGUUGCUCAUCAUUACUAUGAAACGUGAAAGGAUUUAGAGCUAGCCAAAAUAGCCUUGAGAGAUGUGUUGCAGUGUUGAGCAGUUGUGUAAGGGCUCUUUCAACUCUACACUGGCGUCACAUACACGACCCUGUAUGUGUGAG
rnacentral:lncRNA from 1 species